rnacentral:rRNA from 1 species
UCCGUAGGGUGAACCUGGUAAGGCAAGAUUAAGGGGUUGGGUAAACUCCCAACCCCUGUGAACAUACCAAAUUGUUGCCUCGGCGGAUCAGCCCGCUCCCGGUAAAACGGGACGGCCCGCCAGAGGACCCCUAAACUCUGUUUCUAUAUGUAACUUCUGAGUAAAACCAUAAAUAAAUCAAAACUUUCAACAACGGAUCUCUUGGUUCUGGCAUCGAUGAAGAACGCAGCAAAAUGCGAUAAGUAAUGUGAAUUGCAGAAUUCAGUGAAUCAUCGAAUCUUUGAACGCACAUUGCGCCCGCCAGUAUUCUGGCGGGCAUGCCUGUUCGAGCGUCAUUUCAACCCUCAAGCCCAGCUUGGUGUUGGGACUCGCGAGUCAAAUCGCGUUCCCCAAAUUGAUUGGCGGUCACGUUCGAGCUUCCAUAGCGUUAGUAGUAAAACCCUCCGGUUACGUGGUUAAUCGUCGCGGCCACGCCGUUAAACCCCAACUUCUGAAUGUUGACCUCGGAUCAGGUAGGAAUACCCGCUGAACUUAAGCAUAUCAAAAGC